rnacentral:rRNA from 1 species
AUUGAACGCUGGCGGCAGGCCUAACACAUGCAAGUCGAACGGUAACAGGAAGAAGCUUGCUUCUUUGCUGACGAGUGGAGGACGGGUGAGUAAUGUCUGGGAAACUGCCUGAUGGAGGGGGAUAACUACUGGAAACGGUAGCUAAUACCGCAUAACGUCGCAAGACAAAAGAGGGGGACCUUCGGGCCUCUUGCCAUCGGAUGUGCCCAGAUGGGAUUAGCUAGUAGGUGGGGUAACGGCUCACCUAGGCGACGAUCCCUAGCUGGUCUGAGAGGAUGACCAGCCACACUGGAACUGAGACACGGUCCAGACUCCUACGGGAGGCAGCAGUGGGGAAUAUUGCACAAUGGGCGCAAGCCUGAUGCAGCCAUGCCGCGUGUAUGAAGAAGGCCUUCGGGUUGUAAAGUACUUUCAGCGGGGAGGAAGGGAGUAAAGUUAAUACCUUUGCUCAUUGACGUUACCCGCAGAAGAAGCACCGGCUAACUCCGUG